rnacentral:tRNA from 1 species
GGGCCUAUAGCUCAGCGGUUAGAGCAGCCGGCUCAUAACCGGUCGGUCGCAGGUUCGAAUCCUGCUAGGCCCA